GUAGGGAAUAUUGGGCAAUGGUCGGAAGACUGACCCAGCCAUGCCGCGUGCAGGAAGACGGCCCUCUGGGUUGUAAACUGCUUUUAUCUGGGAAGAAAAAGGCCAUGCGUGGCAAAUUGCCGGUACCAGAUGAAUAAGCACCGGCUAACUCCGUGCCAGCAGCCGCGGUAAUACGGAGGGUGCGAGCGUUGUCCGGAUUUAUUGGGUUUAAAGGGUGCGUAGGCGGCUGAUUAAGUCAGCGGUGAAAGGCUUCGGCUUAACCGGAGCAGUGCCGUUGAUACUGGUUGGCUUGAGUGUCGGAGGGGUACAUGGAAUUGAUGGUGUAGCGGUGAAAUGCAUAGAUACCAUCAGGAACACCGAUAGCGAAGGCAUUGUACUGGCCGACAACUGACGCUGAUGCACGAAAGUGUGGGGAUCGAACAGGAUUAGAUACCCGGGUAGUCC
rnacentral:rRNA from 1 species